GCCGGGCGCGGUGGCUCACGCCUGUAAUCCCAGCACUUUAGGAGGCCGAGGCAGGUGGAUCACCUGAGGUCAGGAGUUCAAGACCAGCCUGGUCAACAUGGUGAAACCCUGUCUCUA
ensembl:misc_RNA Metazoa_SRP Metazoan signal recognition particle RNA